rnacentral:rRNA from 1 species
CCAUUAACAGAGGGAAGCAAGACCGCGAGGUGGAGCAAAACCCUAAAAAAUGGUCUCAGUUCGGAUUGCAGGCUGCAACCCGCCUGCAUGAAGUUGGAAUUGCUAGUAAUCGCGGAUCAGCAUGCCGCGGUGAAUACGUUCCCUGGCCUUGUACACACCGCCCGUCACACCAUGAGAGCCGGGAACACCCGAAGUCCGUAGUCUAACCGCAAGGAGGACGCGGCCGAAGGUGGGUUUGGUAAUUGGGGUGAAGUCGUAACAAGGUACC